rnacentral:lncRNA from 1 species
CUUACCGAAGGCGGGCUCCCUGUUGUCCAAUGCGGAUCACAGGCCCACUACAUUUAGCGGAAGUGGAAAAAAAAAACACCCACGCAGCCCCACUUCGGGACACACCUGCAGCCCAGCGGACAGCCCACCAGCCUCCAAACAGUUCUGCGAAAAAUUAGGCUAUCUUUCAUUAGCUAUCUAUCAUGCGGCCUCCACCAGGCUGCAGGAUAUGAGGGCCAUUUAAUUAGGCCCUGCACCACUCUCGGGUGUGAAAAGGCUCUCAAACGCUUUGAUUCCCCGCUGCUUCGCAGCAGGAAGUUGUUGGCGAUAAUUGACAUAGGAUUUCCUUGUUAACCAGCAGCAGACACGCCGGAUUAAAGCGACAGAGAUCUCGAGAAGAAAGUGAAAGAGAUAAGAAGCUCGGAAGACUUCUGCUUAUUUGGCACUUGAGGAUGGCAGGAAACAGCAAUAACCUACUCAAGUGGCGACUCUAGAGUGGAAGGGCGUCCCCUUAUCAGACCUAUUUCAGCUUGGCUGAUCAAAGAUUGACUCCCCGCAAAAUCACAUAGGCCUGGGGUCAUUGUGAGGCUGCCUGUGAGCGCACUCAACGAGGGAGGAAAUACAGGCAAAUUAACUCUGGGGAGGACCGGGGAUGAGGGGCCUCCACGCCUUGUUCCACUUCGGAAGACGGUGCGAUCUCAUUUUGCCCUGUGCGAUUCCUUAGGUAUAACAUCCAAUUGCUCCUGUUGGAAGGGACACUCUGCAUGUAAAUGGCAGAGACACUCUGGUUCACUCAAAUGUAUUGUUCCUGAAAGAAAGGAAGUGGUCUGCAGAGAAGAUACUCAGCUAGAAGAUUCCUCUGUGAGGCUGCUAGUACUUCUCCAGCAGACCAAGCCAGGAGAGCUUUCUCAAAGAUUCUACCAGAUUUUCCAGGGGUUCUCAAAGAUUGUCUGCAAACCAGCUCUGAUAAAUGAUUGCAGCUUCUUGAGUCUAUAGAGAGAGACCUUUAUGCUCUCUCUACUAGGAAGUAAUGCUUUUUUCCCUGAGAUUAUGUUCUUUUUAAAAUUUUUAUGUGCUUUUAAAAUCUCAUGUGUGUAUUAACAUGUCCUUUCUUUAUAGAAUGUUGAAGACAAUAUAUAAAUUUCUGAAAAGAUUUGAAUGAUUUGAUUUGGCAAAAUAAAGAAUUGCCAAUCCUACAUAGAGCUCCAUACACCAAUUUUUAAAAAUAAUUUUAUUGCUUCACAAAAUCUGGGAACCACUGGAUAUAUGAAGUAUCUCUUUUAGCUAAAGCAAAGUCAACUCUCACCCUCGAAAAAAGUUCAUUUUUUGAUCUGUUUUUAUUUUUCUGUGGCAAAAAGUGCUUUUGUGAUGCCUCUAUGAAUAAAAGACUCAUUUUCCUAAGUGAUGCAUCUGCUUUUAAUGUCUUAAAUGCUGGGAUAGAACAGACAUAUCUUCCCUGGUCUGGGUUUUCUUAAAUAGCCAGAAGUCUUCGUGAUGAAGACAAGCAAGCAUCUAAUAGAGAAAUAACUCCAAGACAAAGUGCCGUGGCUGCACGAUGUCGCCUCCCUGACAACCUAUAAAUGGACCAUAUUGAUGAAGUGAACAGGACUCUCUCUGGUCAUUUUCAACUAGAAACUAAUAAUCCCCGUCAUGAUAUCAGGCAUGCAAUAACCUCGGUUAAGACUAGGUUCAUCAAAUAAAUCACUCAGGAAUUUCUCUAUUUCUUUCUCUGGACACAUUGCACAUCUGCUCAAUGAAAGGAAGAAAGAAGCAAUAUUUCUUUGAUCAGGAAUUUUUUUUUAAUAUUCUUGUAUCCAUCCCUUGGGAUACUAUCUUUUCAAGUGGGUGCAGAUAAUACAUCACUUUCUAAUGAAUGUGGAGAAUUUAUGAAUUUAAGCUAUAAAACCAAAUAUGAGGGAUUUUAGUUUAUCUCAAUCUAUAUUUUACACUGUCAUGAGAAAAUAAACCGGACCACA